rnacentral:piRNA from 2 species
UGCCAGUGACAAUGUCUAGCCAGAGGUGAC